UACGAAGGGGGCUAGCGUUGUUCGGAAUUACUGGGCGUAAAGGGCGCGUAGGCGGCGUGUCAAGUCAGGCGUGAAAGCCCCGGGCUCAACCUGGGAACCGCGCUUGAGACUGGCAUGCUCGAGUUCGGGAGAGGAUGGUGGAAUUCCCAGUGUAGAGGUGAAAUUCGUAGAUAUUGGGAAGAACACCGAUGGCGAAGGCAGCCAUCUGGACCGACACUGACGCUGAGUGAGCGAAAGCCAGGGGAGCAAACGGG
rnacentral:rRNA from 1 species